rnacentral:rRNA from 1 species
CUACGGGUUGCAGCAGUGGGGAAUAUUACACAAUGGGCGCAAGCCUGAUGCAGCCAUGCCGCGUGUAUGAAGAAGGCCUUCGGGUUGUAAAGUACUUUCAGCGGGGAGGAAGGGAGUAAAGUUAAUACCUUUGCUCAUUGACGUUACCCGCAGAAGAAGCACCGGCUAACUCCGUGCCAGCAGCCGCGGUAAUACGGAGGGUGCAAGCGUUAAUCGGAAUUACUGGGCGUAAAGCGCACGCAGGCGGUUUGUUAAGUCAGAUGUGAAAUCCCCGGGCUCAACCUGGGAACUGCAUCUGAUACUGGCAAGCUUGAGUCUCGUAGAGGGGGGUAGAAUUCCAGGUGUAGCGGUGAAAUGCGUAGAGAUCUGGAGGAAUACCGGUGGCGAAGGCGGCCCCCUGGACGAAGACUGACGCUCAGGUGCGAAAGCGUGGGGAGCAAACAGGAUUAGAUACCCGGGUAGUC